AUUGAACGCUGGCGGUAGGCUUAACACAUGCAAGUCGUGCGAGAAAGUAUCUUCGGAUAUGAGUAGAGCGGCGGACGGGUGAGUAACGCGUAGGAAUCUACCUAGUAGAAGGGGAUAGCCCGGGGAAACCCGGAUUAAUACCGUAUACCUCCUUCGGGAGAAAGAAGGCCUCUCUUUGAAGCUUUCGCUAUUAGAUGAGCCUGCGUAAGAUUAGCUUGUUGGUGAGGUAAAGGCUCACCAAGGCGACGAUCUUUAGCUGGUCUGAGAGGACGAUCAGCCACAUUGGGACUGAGACACGGCCCAGACUCCUACGGGAGGCAGCAGUGGGGAAUAUUGGACAAUGGGCGCAAGCCUGAUCCAGCCGUACCGCGUGUGUGAAGAAGGCCUUCGGGUUGUAAAGCACUUUAAGCAGGGAGAAAAAGUUAUAAGUUAAUACCUUAUAACCCUGAUGUUACCUGCAGAAUAAGCACCGGCUAAUUCCGUGCCAGCAGCCGCGGUAAUACGGAAGGUGCAAGCGUUAAUCGGAAUUACUGGGCGUAAAGCGCGCGUAGGUGGUUUGUUAAGUUGGAUGUGAAAGCCCUGGGCUCAACCUAGGAACUGCAUCCAAAACUAACUCACUAGAGUACGAUAGAGGGAGGUAGAAUUCAUAGUGUAGCGGUGGAAUGCGUAGAUAUUAUGAAGAAUACCAGUGGCGAAGGCGGCCUCCUGGAUCUGUACUGACACUGAGGUGCGAAAGCGUGGGUAGCGAACAGGAUUAGAUACCCUGGUAGUCCACGCCGUAAACGAUGACAACUAGCUGUUGGGAGACUAUGUCUUUCAGUGGCGCAGCUAACGCUUUAAGUUGUCCGCCUGGGGAGUACGGCCGCAAGGCUAAAACUCAAAUGAAUUGACGGGGACCCGCACAAGCGGUGGAGCAUGUGGUUUAAUUCGAUGCAACGCGAAAAACCUUACCUACUCUUGACAUACUUGGAGGCUCUUGUAAUGAGAGUGUGCCUUUUGGAACCAAGAUACAGGUGCUGCAUGGCUGUCGUCAGCUCGUGUCGUGAGAUGUUCCGUUAAGUCGGAUAACGAGCGCAACCCUUACCCUUAUUUGCCAGCGAUUCGGUCGGGAACUAUAAGGGGACUGCCGGUGAUAAACCGGAGGAAGGUGAGGACGACGUCAAGUCAUCAUGGCCCUUACGAGUAGGGCUACACACGUGCUACAAUGGGAGAUACAGACGGACGCUAAGCCGCGAGGUGGUGCUAAUCCUAAAAAGUCUUUCGUAGUCCGGAUUGGAGUCUGCAACUCGACUCCAUGAAGUCGGAAUCGCUAGUAAUCGCGGAUCAGCAUGCCGCGGUGAAUACGUUCUCGGGUCU
rnacentral:rRNA from 1 species